UUGGAUUUGAACCAAUGCUAGCACCCAAUCUGCUGUUGGUUUCAAGCAGUGGCCUAAAGAAAUGUCUUUCUAUGGCCUGUUGGUCAUUUCACAACUUUGAUAAUGUAAUGGUUAGAAGAUAGAUUAAAAAAAAUAUAU
rfam:Erinaceus europaeus unplaced genomic scaffold scaffold00631, whole genome shotgun sequence